rnacentral:misc_RNA from 1 species
GAUGAAGAACGUAGCGAAAUGCGAUAAGUAAUGUGAAUUGCAGAAUUCAGUGAAUCAUCGAAUCUUUGAACGCACCUUGCGCUCCUUGGUAUUCCGAGGAGCAUGCCUGUUUGAGUGUCAUGAAAUUCUCAACCUUUUCAGCUUUCUUUGUUGAUCAGGCUUGGAUGUGGGAGUAUGCGGGCUUCUCAGAAGUCGGCUCUCCUGAAAUGCAUUAGCGGGACCUUUGUUGCCUGGCUUUGGUGUGAUAAUUAUCUACGCCAUUGUAGUCAAGCAGCUUAAAAUGAGGUUUCAGCUUCUAACCGUCUCCCCUGAGACAACUUUUUGACAAUUUGACCACAAAUCAGGUAGGACUACCCGCUGAACUUAAGCAUAUCAAUAAGCGGAGG